AAGCCCAAGAGACUGAGGGGCUAUUUUACAGAAAUAGUAUAGUAUGGACAGCAGUAGCGCAUGCUUCCUCACAUAACCCUGGCAGUGUGCCUCAAUCCUGACCUGGGAGCGAGCACUUCUAAGGUGAAGGGGUAAUAGUAUCUGAAAUUGCUAACAAGUGCUACA
rnacentral:sRNA from 1 species